AAGAGUAGACGAAGAGAGGUUAAUUGCAGUCAUGCCACCAUUGACCAAAGAACAUAUCCAGGCUAUGUGUAAGCUGGUCACCAAGUGUUGUGAAGAUUCCAGACAAAGCAUACGACGAGCUCCUCAAAAGGGGUCAUUGGGCACUGCUGGCCAUAAAUGCGUAUGAUGAUACAGUAUUUUACCUCGACUCACUAAGGACAACAUCGAAGUCAACUAUAAGAUACGUCACUGACACGUAAGUUAAUCUAGUAUUUCAUUUAGUGUUGAUUCUUAUAUGCAUGUACACAAUAUUUAAACUAUUUGUUCAAUCUUAUCUUGUCAAAACAGA